rnacentral:rRNA from 1 species
AACUAACGCUGGCGGCGUGCCUAACACAUGCAAGUCGUACGAGAAAGCCGGCUUCGGCUGGUGAGUAAAGUGGCGCACGGGUGAGUAACGCGUGGAUAAUCUGCCCUUAAGUGUGGAAUAACGUACCGAAAGGUGCGCUAAUACCGCAUAAUGCCUGGCAACACAAGUUGUCCGGCCAAAGAAGGCCUCUGUUUACAAGCUUUCGCUUCAGGAUGAGUCCGCGUACCAUUAGCUUGUUGGUGGGGUAAUGGCCUACCAAGGCUGCGAUGGUUAGCUGGUCUGAGAGGAUGAUCAGCCACACUGGAACUGAGACACGGUCCAGACUCCUACGGGAGGCAGCAGUGAGGAAUAUUGCGCAAUGGGGGCAACCCUGACGCAGCAACGCCGCGUGAGUGAGGAAGGUUUUCGGACUGUAAAGGCUCUGUCGAGCGGGAAGAAGUGUACCAUGGCUAAUAUCCAUGAUAUUUGACGGUACCG